CCUACGGGAGGCAGCAGUGAGGAAUAUUGGUCAAUGGGCGGAAGCCUGAACCAGCCAAGUCGCGUGAGGGAAUAAGGCCCUACGGGUCGUAAACCUCUUUUGCCGGGGAGCAAGUGCGGGGACGUGUCCCGGCCCGGAGAGUACCCGGAGAAAAAGCAUCGGCUAACUUCGUGCCAGCAGCCGCGGUAAUACGGAGGAGGCGAGCGUUAUCCGGAUUGAUUGGGUUAAAGGGGUGCGUAGGCGGGCUGUUAAGUCAGCGGUAAAAAUUCGGGUCUAAACCCCGACCGGCCGUUGAAACUGGCGAGCUCGAGUUGGAGAGAGGUAUGCGGAAUUCGUGGUGUAGCGGUGAAAUGCGUAGAUAUCAGGAGGAACCCCGAUGGCGAAGGCAGCAUACCGGCUCCACACUGACGCUGAGGCACGAAAGCGUGGGUAUCGAACAGGAUUAGAUACCCCUGUAGUC
rnacentral:rRNA from 1 species